rnacentral:lncRNA from 1 species
AGUAGCAUAACAAGUAAAUUCGUGUCGUAAUUUACGUGGAAACGGACAAUAAAGCUGGCUUCCUUCCUUCCCCCUCAUUCCUUUUGACCUUUUCCUCAAUUAAUUCUUUAAAAGAAUUUAAGGGGAAAAAAAUGGUCAUAUACAGAAUACCCGGGGAAUCCUGAUCCAAUAUUUCUCAGCAAACUGUUGAUUCAAUUCAUUGCGUAAGGUAAAUUCCAACACCCUUCACUAAUUACUUGUUCAUUCUGAUUUGAAUCUAAAUUACUCUUGUUUUCAUGAUGGAUUUGUAUUUAUCCUUUCUUUUUGAGUUUCUGAUAAGCCCAGGAAGAGUGCUGCGUAAACAUUAAGAAUUUCGAAAGUUUUAGCUUUUAUCUUAAUUGGGUUUUGUUAUUUUGGUACUAUUUUGACAGUUGUAUGGAGAUUGUAAUGAUGCCAAAAGUGGGUUCUUAAUAGAGCCAAUAGUUCACUUCUGGUGUUAAAGGUUUGCUAUGUUUUAGAGG